rnacentral:rRNA from 1 species
GACGAACGCUGGCGGCGUGCUUAACACAUGCAAGUCGAACGGAAAGGCCCUGCUUUUGUUGGUUGCUCGAGUGGCGAACGGGUGAGUAACACGUGAGUAUCCUGCCCUUGACUUUGGGAUAACUUCAGGAAACUGGGGCUAAUACCGGAUAUGAUCUCCUGCUGCAUGUUGGUGGUUGGAAAGUUUCGGCUGUUGUGGAUGGACUCGCGGCUUAUCCGCUUGUUUGGCGGGUAGUUGCUUACCAAGGCUUUGACGGGUAGCCGGCCUGGGAGGGGUAACGGCCACAUGGGGACUAAGAGACGGACCAGAAGGGUAUGGGAGGCAGUAGGGGGGAAUAUGGCAGAGUGGGGGGAAGUGAGAGACGGAAAUGCCGGGAGCGGGAUAAUCGGCUACGGGGGGAAAACAAAUGUCGAAGGAGACGAAGAGGGAGUGACGGUAAUGGGUAAAGAAGCAACGGCUAACUACGUG